UACGUAGGUGGCAAGCGUUGUCCGGAUUUAUUGGGUUUAAAGGGUGCGUAGGCGGCUUUGUAAGUCAGUGCUGAAAUAUCCCGGCUUAACCGGGAGGGUGGCAUUGAUACUGUAGGGCUUGAGUGUAGUCGAGGUAGGCGGAAUUGACGGUGUAGCGGUGAAAUGCUUAGAUAUCGUCAAGAACACCGAUAGUGUAGACAGCUUACUAGGCUACAACUGACGCUGAGGCACGAAAGUGUGGGGAUCAAACAGG
rnacentral:rRNA from 1 species